AAAAAGGCUUUAUUUAAAGUCACUCAUAUUCUGACAUAAACUCUAG
rfam:Meleagris gallopavo isolate NT-WF06-2002-E0010 breed Aviagen turkey brand Nicholas breeding stock chromosome 4, whole genome shotgun sequence.